GGAAGGUACUGUAGAUAUGACAUGUGGGGACACACUAAGAAGCCCACCAUUAAGCCAUAAAAUGGCCAUCUGGAGAAAAGUGACCCUCUUGCUGUUUCUUACAGGAACGUUGGUGAAGCCUGGUCUGAGCAAUGUGAUCCUGAAUCAGCCACCAAGGACAAUGGAAGUUCCUCUUGGUUCCUCUCUUACCCUGAACUGCAGUUUUAUGCCCCAAACUCGUGUCACGGUGAACUGGUAUUUCAGCCCAACUGGCCACUCAAGCUGCAGCUCCAAUAUACUGCUGAACAGCAGUACCAAUUCGGCUGACAAAACUGGGAAGCUGGAUGCUGGGGGGCAUGUAUCUAAAGAAUCUAGAGAGAGUUGGUCCAGAUUAAUUCUUAAAGAUGUCACACACAAUAACAGUGGAUGGUACUUUUGCCAUGUCUCAGUAGAGAUUCCCGUCCUUCAACAAGCAUGUAGCAAUGGAACUCAAGUUAAUAUAUCGGACAACCAGAUGAAAAGUACCACUUAUACUCCAUUGAUGACAGACUGGAGGCUGUGGGUAGCAGUGGGAGCAGCGAGUGCCAUACUUGUCACACUGCUAGUGGUCAUCUGGAUCUUAAUACAACGAAGGGGAUGCAAGAGCAGAGAAAAUCCUAUCUAUUCGAAUAUGCCUCCACCAAGAUCUGCAAUAAAACAUCCCUCUCCGCAUCCAGGAAUACAGAUGGACAACCAGAAGUUUCCUUCUCCUUUAAAACACACCAGGACCCCAGCCACAGCCCAUUACAACAAACAUGUCAGGACCCCAACUCCAGCCAGGACCAAUGACAGCAAAUAUAGCCUAAAAUCCUAAGACUUUUCAUGAUUCCAAUUAAUCAUAUUUCCUCUACUGAAACUAUGUCAGCAAGUAAUUCGUUAUCUUGUGUGUUGUGAGUGAAGUCUGACUUGGUCCUAUCCUGUCCUAUUACAUGAGCUAUCACUUUAGUGUGUUUUUUUUCAGGGAUUGCUGUUGAUUACUUCUCCAGCAAUUGGCAUGCCAUGGUAGCCUACUAAAUUCUGAGAAAUUAUUGUUGUGUAAAUAUUAUUCUCAGGGUCAUUUAAUGUUGUCCAAGUUCUAUAAAGCAUAAUCUAGCAAUAAAGAAAAUAA